rnacentral:rRNA from 1 species
AUUGAACGCUGGCGGCAGGCUUAACACAUGCAAGUCGAGCGGGGGAGGUUGCUUCGGUAACUGACCUAGCGGCGGACGGGUGAGUAAUGCUUAGGAAUCUGCCUAUUAGUGGGGGACAACAUUCCGAAAGGAAUGCUAAUACCGCAUACGCCCUACGGGGGAAAGCAGGGGAUCUUCGGACCUUGCGCUAAUAGAUGAGCCUAAGUCGGAUUAGCUAGUUAGUGGGGUAAAGGCCUACCAAGGCGACGAUCUGUAGCGGGUCUGAGAGGAUGAUCCGCCACACUGGGACUGAGGCACGGCCCAGACUCGUACGGGAGGCAGCAGUGGGGAAUAUUGGACAAUGGGCGGAAGCAUGAUCCAGCCAUGCCGCGUGUGUGAAGAAGGCCUUUUGGUUGUAAAGCACUUUAAGCGAGGAGGAGGCUCUUAAGGUUAAUACCCUUGAUGAGUGGACGUUACUCGCAGAAUAAGCACCGGCUAACUCUGUGCCAGCAGCCGCCGUAAAAC